rnacentral:sRNA from 1 species
GCCGGGCGUGUUGUUGCACACCUGUAAUCCCAGCGACUCGGGAGGCUGAGGCAGGAGGAUCAGGAAUUCAAAGCCAGCCUCAGCAAAAGCGAGGCAUUAAGCAACUCAGUGAGACCCUGUCUCUA